AAAAUGUUUAAUAUAUUAUUGUACCUAUUUUGUAUUCUUAUUUAUGAACUUGUAAAAUUAUUAUAUUGGUUAUUGAUUACAAAUUAAUUCAUGGUAAGUAAAAAUUGUAUGUACAAACAAAUAAUUUAUGUAUAGAAAUAAAUAAAUAAAUAAAUGAAUGAAUGCAACGCCUGGAGUAUUAUGAUAAAUGUAUUGUACAAACGGUUUAAAAUUAUACAUCGAUCAUUAGAUAAAUCUCAGUGAGAUAAGUCAAUAAGUAAAACGCGACUGAAUAUGAAAAAUAAAACACGGAAUACACGGAGUAAAAAUUAUAAAAAUUGG